rnacentral:rRNA from 1 species
GGGGGANCUUAGGACCUCUCGCUACAGGGGCGGCCGAUGGCAGAUUAGCUAGUUGGUGGGGUAAAGGCCUACCAAGGCGACGAUCUGUAGCUGGUCUGAGAGGACGACCAGCCACACUGGGACUGAGACACGGCCCAGACUCCUACGGGAGGCAGCAGUGGGGAAUUUUGGACAAUGGGGGCAACCCUGAUCCAGCAAUGCCGCGUGUGUGAAGAAGGCCUUCGGGUUGUAAAGCACUUUUGUCCGGAAAGAAAACGUCGUGGUUAAUACCCGUGGCGGAUGACGGUACCGGAAGAAUAAGCACCGGCUAACUACGUGCCAGCAGCCGCGGUAAUACGUAGGGUGCAAGCGUUAAUCGGAAUUACUGGGCGUAAAGCGUGCGCAGGCGGUCCGCUAAGACAGAUGUGAAAUCCCCGGGCUUAACCUGGGAACUGCAUUUGUGACUGGC